GAUGAACGUUGGCGGUGUGCCUAAUACAUGCAAGUCGAACGGAGUUAAUAGCAAUAUUGACUUAGUGGCGAACGGGUGAGUAACGCGUUGGUGAUCUGCCUUGAAGUGUGGAAUAACGCUCCGAAAGGAGCGCUAAUACCGCAUGUGCUCUCAAUUUUUAGAAAGUUGAGAGGAAAGGAUUUAUUCGCUUCGAGAGGAGCCUGCGUCCCAUCAGCUGGUUGGUAGGGUAAAGGCCUACCAAGGCAAUGACGGGUAGGGGACCUGAGAGGGUGGCCCCCCAAAUGGAACUGAAACACGGUCCAUACACCUACGGGUGGCAGCAGUAGGGAAUAUUAGAAAUGGACGAAAGUCUGAUCUAAGCAACACCGCGUGUGCGAAGAAGGCCUUCGGGUCGUAAAGCACUUUUUGGAAGGAAUAGGAAGGAAUGUACUUCCAGAAUAAGUCUCGGCUAACUACGUG
rnacentral:rRNA from 1 species